rnacentral:lncRNA from 1 species
AUCAGUUCAUUACAAGAUUAUUACAGACCAGAAUUGAUAUAAAAAAAGUAAAAUUACAUCAGAAAUUAAAGAUUUCAACCAAGGAGAGCCUAAUUCAGACUCGUACUCUGACAUGUGUAAUACACCAAGUUCCAAAUAUCAGAUUCCGAUGUGUCAAUGUUCCAAGGAGCUUCAAGAGAUCCAGGCAAUGCCAGCCCUUAAAUGUCCAAGUUCAGAGGGAACUCAAUGUCCCAAGGGAAGGCUCAUAGGAAGGGGCGGGGGGUGGGGGGUGGAGGGGUAGAACUUAGAGUCUAAGAGUAAGUGAAAGUGCAGUAGAGGGAAAAUGGAAAGCUAAUGGUCAUGCCAUGCAAUUUGGGAUGCUGGCACACCCCUAACCAGCUUGUCAGUUUCUAAUUGAGGAGUUAGGACCUGUUGAAGGUCAGGUUCAUACCUGGACAACCAUUUGAAUGCUACCGGUCCAUGAACUUUAACUCAACAUACAUAAGGGAGUGGGGGUGUGUGGUUUCAUAAUAGAAGCAAGAGACAAGGAAAGAGUAGGCAAAGGGCAUACCCAGCAACGAGACAUACUGGCACACCCUUCAGUCUAGUUGGGGUCAAAACUUAGUUCAUGGACAACAAUUCUUGUUGGCAUGCCCUGAGUCCCCACUACAAACAUAUAGAGGGCAAUGUGAUAUGGAGCAAGUGUGUAUAAGAAAAGUAAAGCAGGCAGCAGCAUAAAAGCAUUUCAAUGUUAAAUUCUACAAAAAGCAGACAUAGAUACCAUAAGUAAACACAUUGGGAUGAUGCAAGGAAUUGAAUUAAGACAUACCAGUUUUUAAAAGACAAACAAAGAGAAAGCAGUAGUAGUCUUGUGAAAGCCAAAGUGCAGACAAAAAUAUUUUUAAGUGAAAGUUCAGAAGAGAUUGUGAAAAUUGUAUGUGUGAAGUCUGAAGUGUGUAUUCAAUUGUGUCCUCUUUUGAAAAAGAGGGUCGGGUAUUUAUAGUUUGAAAAUAAGUAGAAAGUAAGGGAAGAAUCAUAGUAAUUAUGGAACUAUGUAUCAAUUACAAUCAAUCAACAUAAGAAAUUCCUUUAAUUAAGGAGUUUAAACUUAAACGGUAAUGGACAGAAAUCACUUAAGGAAAAUCAAGUAAACAUCUUGUGUAAAAUAGGGAAUUAGGGGAAAAUACAUAGGGGUUAACUAAGGGAAACAUUAAUAAGGAAUCUUUAAAAUACACAGCUAGCCAAAUAAGGUAAGAAACAUAAUAAAUCAAUUAGUAGAUAGUAAAUCAAGGAGUCAGGGAUUCAAAAUUACAAAUGAACUAAGUCAGAAAUAGGAGAAUCGAAAGGCUAAAGAAAGUUUUCUAAUCGACCUAGGAAACGGGGAAAAACAGGGAAAGAAUCAAUCACACUUACACAAGGAGGUUUGAAAUCAGUCCAAAAAUUGAAAGUCAUUUUAGAGGGACAUUCAGUGUAUAUAAAGAAUGCACAAAUAUUAGGCAUGCGAGGUUAAACUGUGGUAAAGAGAAGCAGCAAUAAUAACUACGAAGCUUGUAGAUAGUGAAACAUGGUUGUCACAUAGGUCUUCUUAUUAAUGGGUAGAAGGGGGUAUCAGAAACAUGCCAAAGAGUCAAGUAAAAGACCCUUCUGGAAAGUGUAGUUUAGUUCAAAGAUUUCAAUAAAUGAAAUCACAUAGAGAAACAGAAGCUGAAACAAGAAGGACUUUGAAUCUAGUCGAGGAACUUCAAAUAGAGGAAGCAGUUUUCAGAAGCUCGAAUAGGUCCAAAAGAAUUAGGGCUUUGAAAUCAAACAAAUUUAUAGAAGAGGACUAAGUAAAUUACAUAGUAAAAUAACCUCAGAACUCAAAUGAACCCCAAAUCUUAGGGCUUUUGCCAUUAAUCGAGUGUAGAGAUGAAAGACAAGUAAUCAAGCAAAUACUAUUACGAAGAUAUUCAUAAACCUCAAAAGAAGCUAAGAUUCUUGACAUGCAAAUUCUAGUCAGAGAAUGACAUAGAGAUACACAGUAAGGGGAAACACAUAAGAAACACAUCAGAAGGACAACAUAAGAAACACGAUAGAAGAACAACAUAAGAAACACGAUAGAACAUGCUAAAAAUCAUAAAAGCUUUAAAAUAACUUAACAAAACCCUAAAUCGGAAAAUAUAAACGUUUAGAAAGCAGACUUUUGAAGGAAAUCUCGGAAAAAUGUUUAGAAGCUUAAGGAAAACCCAUAUCUACAAUAGAUCUAAAAGAAUAAGAAGAACCUCAAAGGUUAGGGUUUCAGAAGAAUCCAAAUGGUGAGAAAGGAUUGGAAAGUCAUGAUCUAAGUAGGAAAUGUCAAGAUCAGGCUUGAAUAACCAUGGCUGGUCGGAGCAAGAUCAGAGACAGCCAUAGAACCCGAACAAAGUCUGGGACAAGCUUCUUGUAGGUGUGACCUUGAAACCAUGGUAAUCAGGCGUGUAGGAGUCACAUGAGGUAGAUACAUGCCAUCAAUGGUUUCAGAAGCCAUGGAUUUGGUCAAUUUUAGGUUGUGAUUGAAGGUGGCGAGUAGGGUUUCUGAGAGAUUGAGAGAUGGGGGGAAUUCAAAGGCGGCUACAG